UACGAAGGGGGCUAGCGUUGCUCGGAAUCACUGGGCGUAAAGGGCGCGUAGGCGGCCAUUCAAGUCAGAGGUGGAAGCCCAAGGCUCAACCUUGGAACUGCCUUUGAUACUGUUUGGCUUGAGACCGGUAGAGGUAAGUGGAACUGCGAGUGUAGAGGUGAAAUUCGUAGAUAUUCGCAAGAACACCAGUGGCGAAGGCGGCUUACUGGACCGGUUCUGACGCUGAGGCGCGAAAGCGUGGGGAGCAAACAGG
rnacentral:rRNA from 1 species